rnacentral:tRNA from 1 species
GCUCUAGUGGCGAAAUUGGUAGACGCGCCAGACUCAAAAUCUGGUUCCCCUUAAAGGAGUGUCGGUUCGAGUCCGACCUGGAGCACCA